rnacentral:SRP_RNA from 1 species
GCUGGGUGUGGUGGCGCACACCUGUAGUCCCAGAUACUCAGGAGGCUGAGGCGGGAGAAUAGCUUGAACCCGGGAGGCGGAGGUUGCAGUGAGCAGAGAUCAUGCCACUGCACUCCAGCCUGGGCGAUAGAGUAAGAAUCCGUCUCAA